rnacentral:rRNA from 1 species
GGAAUACCGGAUGGGGAAAGGCAGCCUUUCUGGCAUCAUAUUGACACUGAGGCUUGAAAGCGUGGGUAGCAAACAGGAUUAGAUACCCUGGUAGUCCACGCCGUAAACGAUGUUUAUUAGUCGUUGGGUCCCUUGAGGACUUAGUGACGCAGCUAACGCAAUAAGUAGACCGCCUGGGGAGUACGGCCGCAAGGUUAAAACUCAAAUGAAUUGACGGGGGCCCGCACAAGCGGUGGAGCAUGUGGUUUAAUUCGAUGCAACGCGAAGAACCUUACCUGGUCUUGACAUAUCUAGAAUCCUGCAGAGAUGCGGGAGUGCCUUCGGGAAUUAGAAUACAGGUGCUGCAUGGCUGUCGUCAGCUCGUGUCGUGAGAUGUUGGGUUAAGUCCCGCAACGAGCGCAACCCUUGUCCUUAGUUACCAGCGGGUUAAGCCGGGAACUCUAAGGAUACUGCCAGUGACAAACUGGAGGAAGGCGGGGACGACGUCAAGUCAUCAUGGCCCUUACGACCAGGGCUACACACGUGCUACAAUGGUAGGUACAGAGGGCAGCUACACAGCGAUGUGAUGCGAAUCUCAAAAAGCCUAUCGUAGUCCAGAUUGGAGUCUGCAACUCGACUCCAUGAAGUAGGAAUCGCUAGUAAUCGCGGAUCAGAAUGCCGCGGUGAAUACGUUCCCGGGCCUUGUACACACCGCCCGUCACACCAUGGGAGUUGAUUGCACCAGAAGUGGUUAGCCUAACCGUAAGGAAGGCGAUCACCACGGUGUG